rnacentral:rRNA from 1 species
CACGUAGUUAGCCGUGACUUUCUAGGUAAUUACCGUCAAAUAAAGGCCAGUUACUACCUCUAUCUUUCUUCACUACCAACAGAGCUUUACGAGCCGAAACCCUUCUUCACUCACGCGGCGUUGCUCCAUCAGACUUGCGUCCAUUGUGGAAGGUUCCCUA